rnacentral:rRNA from 1 species
UACGAAGGGGGCUAGCGUUGCUCGGAAUCACUGGGCGUAAAGCGCACGUAGGCGGACUCUUAAGUCGGUGGUGAAAUCCUGGAGCUCAACUCCAGAACUGCCUUUGAUACUGGAGAUCUGGAGAUCGGGAGAGGUUGGUGGAAUUCCGAGUGUAGAGGUGAAAUUCGUAGAUAUUCGGAGGAACACCAGAAGCGAAGGCGGCCAACUGGCCCGAUACUGACGCUGAGGCGCGAAAGCGUGGGGAGCAAACAGG